rnacentral:lncRNA from 1 species
UGCCCCUCUUCCUUUUGAAGAUCUAUUUACAUCCUAUGGGUUCAAUCUCUUCAGGUGGAUCAACUAAUGUCCACACAUCAUUGAUCUUCAUGGACUCCAUUUUGAAUUUUAUAGAUUCAAACUAUUUAUCAGAGUUGGACCUUUGUAUUGCAUCCAUAUAGGUGAUUGAACUCUCAUUGUUCUCAUCGAGUUCAAUAGGAUCUCCAUCUCGAACCAAGAAAUCAUAAUAUCUGUCUGAUUGAUGCGAUACUCUAUCAGAUCUCCUUAAUGAUAUCUCUA